GAUGAACGCUAGCUACAGGCUUAACACAUGCAAGUCGAGGGGCAUCAUGACGAAAGCUUGCUUUUGUUGAUGGCGACCGGCGCACGGGUGAGUAACGCGUAUCCAACCUUCCCCUUAGUAGAGGAUAGCCCGGCGAAAGUCGGAUUAAUACUCUAUGUAGUACGAUGAAGGCAUCUGAGUUGUAUGAAAGGUUUUUCCGGUAUGGGCUGGGGAUGCGUCUGAUUAGGUAGUAGGCGGGGUAACGGCCCACCUAGCCAUCGAUCAGUAGGGGUUCUGAGAGGAAGGUCCCCCACAUUGGUACUGAGACACGGACCAAACUCC
rnacentral:rRNA from 1 species